GGCGUGGCCGAGUGGUAAGGCAACGGGUUUUGGUCCCGUCGUUCGAAGGUUCGAAUCCUUUCGUCCCAGA
rnacentral:tRNA from 2 species